rnacentral:rRNA from 1 species
GAUCCUGGCUCAGGAUGAACGCUAGCGACAGGCUUAACACAUGCAAGUCGAGGGGCAGCGGGGAGUAGCAAUACUUCGCCGGCGACCGGCGCACGGGUGAGUAACACGUGUGCAACCAACCCCGUACCGGGAGAUAACCCGCGGAAACGUGGACUAACAUCCCAUAAUACUGGAGGAUCGCAUGAUCUUUCAUUUAAAAUUCCGGUGGUACGGGACGGGCACGCGCGACAUUAGGUAGUUGGCGGGGUACGG